rnacentral:rRNA from 1 species
GACGAACGCUGGCGGCGCGCCUAACACAUGCAAGUCGAACGGAGCCUAGAGAGCUUGCUUUUUAAGCUUAGUGGCGAACGGGUGAGUAACGCGUGAGUAACCUGCCCUAGAGUGGGGGACAACAGUUGGAAACGACUGCUAAUACCGCAUAAGCCCACGGUGCCGCAUGACACUGAGGGAAAAGGAUUUAUUCGCUUUAGGAUGGACUCGCGUCCAAUUAGCUAGUUGGUGAGGUAACGGCCCACCAAGGCGACGAUUGGUAGCCGGACUGAGAGGUUGAACGGCCACAUUGGGACUGAGACACGGCCCAGACUCCUACGGGAGGCAGCAGUGGGGGAUAUUGCACAAUGGGGGAAACCCUGAUGCAGCGACGCCGCGUGGAGGAAGAGGGUUUUCGGAUUGUAAACUCCUGUCGUUAGGGACGAUAAUGACGGUACCUAACAAGAAAGCACCGGCUAACUACGUG